GGUGUGUGCGAGUUAAUUGUAAAUGUAAAAAAAAAAAUAAAAAUGAAAAUUUAGUAUAACCUCAUGUUUGGUUGGUUGUAAUAGCCAUUUCAUUACUGAUCAAUUUGGUGAUAAUCAGUUAUCCCUUUGUUUGGUUCACCGAAUCAUUCAUUCCAUGGAAUCAUCAUUCAUCUCUUAUUACAGUUUCUCCCGUAAUAAGCGAUCCUCACCAUACCCAAAGAAUAGCUGAGAAAUAAAGAGAAAAACCUUACCUCAAGCCACCACACCCCCAAAGUAAUCGACAGAGUUGAUCCCGGUGAUUGAUCAGAGAGAGCGAGUGAAUUAACGAUAAUGGCAGAAGCGAAGAAAUCUAUGGGAUUUGAUAACGUCGAGGAUAUACUAACAAAAAUAGAAAACAAAUC